AAUUUACAAUGUUUGGUGAGAUGAGAAGCUUGAAGAAUAACUAACAAUCCAAGACAUGAACUGAUAACUGCUCAAUGAGGAAACUGAAGCUAAAAGAAGUUAGAAGACUUGCUCAAUAUUUCACAACUAGGAAGUGUCUGAGUAAAAUGGCUUUCAAGUUCCGUACUUUCAACUUACCAAAAAAAAAAAAAAAACGAAAACAACUUUUGGAAUGCUGAUCAUCAA